rnacentral:rRNA from 1 species
AUACGUAGGGUGCGAGCGUUGUCCGGAAUUACUGGGCGUAAAGAGCUCGUAGGUGGUUUGUCGCGUCGUCUGUGAAAUUCCGGGGCUUAACUCCGGGCGUGCAGGCGAUACGGGCAUAACUUGAGUACUGUAGGGGAGACUGGAAUUCCUGGUGUAGCGGUGAAAUGCGCAGAUAUCAGGAGGAACACCGGUGGCGAAGGCGGGUCUCUGGGCAGUAACUGACGCUGAGGAGCGAAAGCAUGGGUAGCGAACAGGAUUAGAUACCCUGGUAGUCCAUGCCGUAAACGGUGGGCGCUAGGUGUAGGGGUCUUCCACGACUUCUGUGCCGUAGCUAACGCAUUAAGCUCCCCGCCUGGGGAGUACGGCCGCAAGGCUAAAACUCAAAUGAAUUGACGGGG